GAUGAACGCUAGCGAGACGCUUAACACAUGCAAGUCGAAUGUAGAUUUAUCUACAUGGCAGACGGGUGAGUAACACGUGCUUAAUUUACCCCGGAGUGGGGGACAACAUCGGAAACGGUGAUAAUCCCGCAUACGUUCCACAAAAUGAAAAUAUGUGGAAGAAAGAUUUAUCGCUCUGGGAGGAGGGCGCGGCUGACUAGUUAGUUGGUGAGGUAAUGGCUCACCAAGACGAUGAUCAGUAGCUGGUCUGAGAGGACGAACAGCCACAAUGGGACUGAGACAAGGCCCAUACCCCUACGGGGGCAGCAGUGGGGAAUUUUGGACAAUGGGCGCAAGCCUGAUCCAGCAAUGCCGCGUGCGGGAAGAAGGCCUGGUUGUAACGCUUUGUCAGGAGAA
rnacentral:rRNA from 1 species